GAUAGAUUACAUACUAUUUGGUUUAUGCCGACGCUUAGUGCUAUGCUGGGCCAAAGUCAACUAGUAGCUGCAGAAAAGCUGUGAUUUGUAUUGUUUUGUUGGUGUAUGGUUUUGCACGUGACAACUAUACAAGAAAGAAGUAUGGGUGCAGUAACUACCUUAUCUAUUCUCCGCAGACAGUUUCGAGCACUCCCGAGCCAGCCAGCAAUUUGACAAAAUUCUGCAAACGUAAUCCAGGAUAAGAUCGUUAGAUUUCUAUUGUGAAGCUCUUUCCAGGUCCGAAUGCCUGAUGGUGACUCUAUUUUGUGUACUGUGUUAUAUAGAGGAAAGAUUUAUUAUAUCUGUGAAGUCUCGUCUUCCCUCUAUGAAAAAGCGUCAGCUUUUCUGUGAACGACUGAAAAGGGCUGGCGCAAGAAAUCUUGGCUUCCUAAGAAAACGAUACCUGAAGAAAAUCGACUCACCAACACAUUUGAAAUACAAAAAGCACAAACAAGUUAAUAAGUAUUACAUAUUUAUUGCCAAUAAAUAGUACUAAAUUAAUUAUAUAAGAGUAAAAGUAAACAUAGCUAAUAGAUGUCACGUGCACAUAUAAACACGUGAGGUUCAAUUUGACGUUUUCUCAUAAUGCGUAUGAAGGCUUUCUAUUUGUCAAACCUAUGCAUACAUAGAUAUGAAAUUUUCUAAAUACAGUACAGUGCAAAGUAAUGGCUCUCAUUUUCGUAAAAAUCGAUUUGGAUUUUGAAUUCAAGUAUUUUAAAAUAAUAAAUAAUAACAUAUUAAAUUUUAUUUAUUUGUUUUAGAGUUUAAUUCAAUCAUGUUAUAUUAUUACGCUUUUUUACGAAAUUGUCCUGCCCUCAAAUUAUGUCUUGUUCUCUCAUACUUGGUUGCUCCGAUCCUGCGACUGAUAAUAGAAGGCUAGGUUUAUAAAUAAGCUAAAUUAGUUACAGCUUAGGGCCUGAUGCCACAAAGAGACUCGUUUCAGCCUUAUCCAGAAUUAAUUUAAUAUUAUUUGAUAGAGAAUGUAAGAUCUCUUUUAUGCCAUAGCUUAGGAUCACGUGUUUAAAUACAGUUCUGAGGGCAGUGUUAUGUUUUGUUAACGUUCGUGUUUUUAUUUAGAAUUGUUUUAGUUGUGUGUGUCAAAUAUACAGAUAACUCUAAUUGAAUAUAUCAGUACUGGGACAUGUUUUGAUUGCUUUAAAGACUGGUCCAUGAAGUUCUGUUCUGCUUGCAUCCGCUAGCAAUGUUCCAUUCCUUUGUAAUGUUUAUAGUGUCAACAGUAACGUUCCGCUAUAUAAGCUACCCGUUUGGUUUCUAUCUGACCUCGCAGCGGUCUAAUGGAAAGUUCGGUUUGUGAUUAAACUCGAUGUUCUUCCGUUGGUCAAGAACCAAUAGAAUUGUAUGAUGGUAUCACGUGUUCUGUAUUUGAUGCAAGUGCUCGAUCUCAUCUCGUACAAAUAUAAAGUAGAGAAUAUUCGAGCCGUGGAUGAUAAACUGUAAAACAUGCUGUAAAAAUUAUCUAAUUUUGUAUAACAUUGGAUUAAAAGGUAUAAAAAUAAAAUGU